UAGUUCUGAGUUUCCGCAUGGGAAUUCAGAUAAAGCUCCGGCGGUUAAAGAUGGGCAUGCGUGACAUUAGCUAGUUGGUAAGGUAAUGGCUUACCAAGGCUACGAUGUCUAGGGGUUCUGAGAGGAUGAUCCCCCACACUGGUACUGAGACACGGACCAGACUCCUACGGGAGGCAGCAGUGAGGAAUAUUGGUCAAUGGGCGCAAGCCUGAACCAGCCAUCCCGCGUGAAGGAUGAAGGUCCUAUGGAUUGUAAACUUCUUUUAUACACCAAGAAAAACACCCACGUGUGGGUGCCCGACGGUAGUGUAUGAAUAAGCAUCGGCUAACUCCGUGCCAGCAGCCGCGGUAAUACGGAGGAUGCAAGCGUUAUCCGGAUUCAUUGGGUUUAAAGGGUGCG
rnacentral:rRNA from 1 species